ACGCACGCUGGCGGCAUGCCUAACACAUGCAAGUCGAACGAGACCUUCGGGUCUAGUGGCGCACGGGUGCGUAACGCGUGGGAACCUGCCCUUAGGUUCGGAAUAACUCCCCGAAAGGGGUGCUAAUACCGGAUAAUGUCUUCGGACCAAAGAUUUAUCGCCUUUGGAUGGGCCCGCGUUGGAUUAGCUAGUUGGUAGGGUAAAAGCCUACCAAGGCGACGAUCCAUAGCUGGUCUGAGAGGAUGAUCAGCCACACUGGGACUGAGACACGGCCCAGACUCCUACGGGAGGCAGCAGUGGGGAAUAUUGGACAAUGGGCGAAAGCCUGAUCCAGCAAUGCCGCGUGAGUGAUGAAGGCCUUAGGGUUGUAAAGCUCUUUUACCCGGGAUGGUAAUGACAGUACCGGGAGAAUAAGCUCCGGCUAACUCCGUG
rnacentral:rRNA from 1 species